rnacentral:lncRNA from 1 species
UUUAGCGGAUCUUUGAUAGCUUUCUAGGAUCUCGAGAUAGACAAUUAUUGAAUUAUCUUAAAGGAUAAAAUAAUCAACUGUUGUUGGAUUUGUAGUCUACUCGAAAUUACCACUAAUAAGGCCAUACUACACCUCUGGCCUUUUUAUUUUUGUUUUCCUUCUACUUCUGUACUCCAACUUGUAAAUGCUGCAACUUCAUGAUCCACAAGUAGAUAAUUAAAUAUAGCCUAGGAGACGUAAGCUCGAACUCUUCAUACCGUUCCAGGGUAUUUACUGUACAGGCAGAACAAGGAGCCCUACACUUCAUUACCAACAACCAAGUAAGCUCUUUCCAUUUUCCUGCGCCAAACAGAAGUAACUAAAACCAAAA